UUUUUGAGACCACCUUAGACAUGCUCCCACCCCUUAGCUAAAGAAAAAAAUGCUGACUCCACUCCGUUACUUUUCUUUAGCUCUAUAGUUAUCAUUUGGGAAAAGCUUUCCUGCCGUUAAAGGAAUAUUUCAAAUACCAAAGUAUUUUUUUGCAGUGACAACUUUCURUGAACUCAACUCUCCGCUGCCUCUAAAAAAUUGAAUCCAUCUGGUCUCAGGACUGGAAAGCUAAUCUARCCAUAGCAAUGAUGUUUAUUAAAAUUCAGAUCGCCAUCUUCGUGCUGGGGAGCGUGCCUUUCAUAGCACUUGCUGAAGAAGCAAGCUCAGUUCUCGAAGGAGAAGAAAGCGCAACAAUUGAUUUUAGAGACAGAAAUGACACAGAUUUUGAAGAAUUACCAACCCUGCUGCCAACAAAACUACACAGUGUAACAAAUUUCUUGGAGUUUGGAGAACUGAUGACCACAGAAGGUACAGUCUCAAAUGAAGACAGUGAGAAUUCCACUGAUUACGAAGCUACCACUGAAAAUGAAGGUGGACCAGGUAGAGAACAAGAGACAACUGAGAAAGGCCUUAAAAAUGGUUGAAACAAGCGAUCAUGCCGUUUUAUGCCAGUAAAUACAAGUGCUUCUUAUUUUAUAAGCACUAGAGACUAUUCUUGUAUUUGUGUGAGAAGAUGAUCCAUGGAAAGCAUGAAGAACUUCAGGUCUAUGGGGAUCCCACACGACUCUCCAAGUGACUAUUUUUACAGACUUACUGAACAUGGAACACUUCAUAGGAUUUCACUAACCAGGAAUAUAUUAGAGGAAAUGAAAAUUAUGUAGUAGGAAAAAGAAAAAAAACACAGAAGCAAAGAGAUAUACAUCCAAAGUGUGAUUUGCAGGUAACAUAUGCUAGCUUGAUUUUAAACACUGCAGGCAAAGAAUUAUCUUACAUUGUAUUUUACCUAUUUCUCUCUAAAAAAAGAAACCACAUACCCAGAUUCUUUUCUCUUCAGAACACUGAAGGAUAYGGCUAUCUUGACUACUCAGUGAGCUUAAGUGCUUGCAGCACGUUCAUCUACCUAACCUAGAGUUUAGCAAGAUACGAAACUUCUUACUGACAAGAAGGAAUGAGCUUCAGAGAGACUCAAUUAUCUUCACAUUCCAUAAACAAAUUACAUAUCAGAACCUAAGUCUUUCCACUAUCAAUACUGAUUUUCUGCUUUUGAUACUUACGUGCCAAGGUGUGGUAGACCCAGCUGGAACUGACCUACCAACUAAAAGCUUGCUCAUCCCACUGUUACACUAAGAACUUCCUGUCUUCUCUUGUUGCAGAGACGCAUAGGGAUUGAAACACACAUCCUGAAUUAAAGGGUGCUUGGAAUAUACCCACUUUUGAUGGGUCACUAACCAGUUACUUCUGAUGUGUAGAAGCUCUUCAAUUAACAUGCACUUUUCUUUAUAACUGCCUCAUUUUCUAAGUGCAGAGGAGACUUGUUUGAUCACACAUUGUACAACACUAGGUCAGAACAUGUUAAUGAAGUAUGUGUCUCUGGACUCUAUAGCUUUUCAUUAUGGCAUAUUUAACGCAGCACUACAUAAGUGUACAGAGUUCAAAGAAAUGGCUGUGCCAAGUGGCUACAGUGUAUCAUGUUUUCUAAACUUAAGGCACUCGUGUUUGGUAUGAAAUCACUAUAAUUCACAUUGUCAAUGAGUAAUAAACAAGUCAAUUUAUAUUUGCUCUUCCA
rnacentral:lncRNA from 1 species